rnacentral:ncRNA from 1 species
GUGCCCCUAAAAGCAGGUAUCCGCUAAAGAGUGUGUUAAAACUCACCUGCCGAAUACUAGGGCCCCGAAAAUGAAUGGCGCAUAUAGUACUACCGAUCUCAGACAUCAGUUCUAUUGAACUGAGAGUAGGGGGAUGUGGACAUUUUUGUGAAGGUGCAAUGUGAGUUGGACUGGAAGAAUGUCUAUUACAGAUCCUAAUUGAAGUAGCGAUUAUCCAGGCUUGUAUCCUGGGGGCUGAUGAGGAGUAGGGUUUCUGGACAACUUAAACAGAUCCAGAGUUAGUCGAUCCUAAUCUCAAUAAUGGGAGAAAGGGAGUACAGUUGAUAUUCUGUAACUGACAACAGUUCGCGGCAACGCAUACUAUUUUUCUCCGCCAAUCUUAUACCGUUGGUAGGGAUCUCUUUCCUACAUGACAGUACUAAUACCCAGGGAAACUGGUCAUCAGGCGAACUGCGGCGUUCUGCUGGCAAAACAUAGCUUCGGUUAUGUCAAUGGCUAUUGGAUUGGUCCAUGAAGCGAAAAAUAGUUUACUGUGUCACUCGUACCGAUAACCGCAUCAGGUCUUCUAGGUAAGUAGCCUAUGGCCAUUGAGGCAUGAUAGUUCAGGGAAUUCGGCCAAUUAGAGCUGUAACUUCGGGAUAAAGCUUGGCUCUGAUGAAAAUCAGAACCGAUUGUUACGCGGAGAGCCCAACUGUUUAAUAAAAACGUAGUGUCGCGCUGUGGUAGUAUAGCCAGUGAACGCGACAUGAAUCCUGCUCAGUGCUGUGUCUGUUAAUAUGGUUCAAGCCAACGAAGCACCGGUAAAUAGCUGGGGUAACUAUGACUCUUAUCAAAGUAGCGAAAUACCUCGUCACUUUAUUAGUGACCUGCAUGAACGGAGCUAUGAGGUUCUCACUGUCCCAAACUGUCUCUCAGC